rnacentral:misc_RNA from 1 species
CCACAUCUCAAAAUGCCAUUCCAUGUUCAAGUUACAAUAUAGGGAAACUAAAAACCCCAAUGCCUUGCAUCCCGAAGAAAAAUCAGCUUUGAUCAGUUACUAGAUAUGUCUUAUCAUCAUCUUUCGUCUACUGACUAAACUCAUUUGGAUAAUGCAGGUUCGUAAUAUUGACAAUAAUCUCUUAACUAUGAACAGAUUCCCUUUUACAGUUAAUAAGUCAUUAACACAAGAAUACAACUAAGAAAAAGAAAAACAAGAAAAUGAACAUGCUAUAUUCUUGUCAAAUUUCUAUUCAGAACCGCAGUUGGAUGUACAACAUAUUGAGAUAUGUACUUCCUUUAUAAAAAUUGUUUUCUUUAAAGCUCUUGCUAAAGAAU